AGCAGUAGCCGCGGUAAUACGAAGGGGGCUAGCGUUGCUCGGAAUGACUGGGCGUAAAGGGCGCGUAGGCGGCGGCCAAAGUCAGGCGUGAAAUUCCCGGGCUCAACCUGGGGGCUGCGUUUGAUACUUGGUUGCUUGAGUGGGGAAGAGGGUCGUGGAAUACCCAGUGUAGAGGUGAAAUUCGUAGAUAUUGGGAAGAACACCGGUGGCGAAGGCGGCGACCUGGUCCUUUACUGACGCUGAGGCGCGAAAGCGUGGGGAGCAAACAGGAUUAGAUACCCCUGUAGUCCCUGUCUCUUAUAC
rnacentral:rRNA from 1 species